GGAGCUAUAGUUCAGUGGCAGAGCAUAUACUUUGUAUGCAGAAGACCUCAUGUUCAUUUCCUGAUAUCUUCA